AAAUUGAAGAGUUUGAUCAUGGCUCAGAUUGAACGCUGGCGGCAGGCCUAACACAUGCAAGUCGAACGGUAGCACAGAGAGCUUGCUCUCGGGUGACGAGUGGCGGACGGGUGAGUAAUGUCUGGGAAACUGCCUGAUGGAGGGGGAUAACUACUGGAAACGGUAGCUAAUACCGCAUAACGUCGCAAGACCAAAGAGGGGGACCUUCGGGCCUCUUGCCAUCAGAUGUGCCCAGAUGGGAUUAGCUAGUAGGUGGGGUAACGGCUCACCUAGGCGACGAUCCCUAGCUGGUCUGAGAGGAUGACCAGCCACACUGGAACUGAGACACGGUCCAGACUCCUACGGGAGGCAGCAGUGGGGAAUAUUGCACAAUGGGCGCAAGCCUGAUGCAGCCAUGCCGCGUGUAUGAAGAAGGCCUUCGGGUUGUAAAGUACUUUCAGCGGGGAGGAAGGUGUUGAGGUUAAUAACCUCAGCAAUUGACGUUACCCGCAGAAGAAGCACCGGCUAACUCCGUGCCAGCAGCCGCGGUAAUACGGAGGGUGCAAGCGUUAAUCGGAAUUACUGGGCGUAAAGCGCACGCAGGCGGUCUGUCAAGUCGGAUGUGAAAUCCCCGGGCUCAACCUGGGAACUGCAUUCGAAACUGGCAGGCUAGAGUCUUGUAGAGGGGGGUAGAAUUCCAGGUGUAGCGGUGAACUGCGUAGAGAUCUGGAGGAAUACCGGUGGCGAAGGCGGCCCCCUGGACAAAGACUGACGCUCAGGUGCGAAAGCGUGGGGAGCAAACAGGAUUAGAUACCCUGGUAGUCCACGCCGUAAACGAUGUCGACUUGGAGGUUGUGCCCUUGAGGCGUGGCUUCCGGAGCUAACGCGUUAAGUCGACCGCCUGGGGAGUACGGCCGCAAGGUUAAAACUCAAAUGAAUUGACGGGGGCCCGCACAAGCGGUGGAGCAUGUGGUUUAAUUCGAUGCAACGCGAAGAACCUUACCUACUCUUGACAUCCAGAGAACUUUCCAGAGAUGGAUUGGUGCCUUCGGGAACUCUGAGACAGGUGCUGCAUGGCUGUCGUCAGCUCGUGUUGUGAAAUGUUGGGUUAAGUCCCGCAACGAGCGCAACCCUUAUCCUUUGUUGCCAGCGGUCCGGCCGGGAACUCAAAGGAGACUGCCAGUGAUAAACUGGAGGAAGGUGGGGAUGACGUCAAGUCAUCAUGGCCCUUACGAGUAGGGCUACACACGUGCUACAAUGGCGCAUACAAAGAGAAGCGACCUCGCGAGAGCAAGCGGACCUCAUAAAGUGCGUCGUAGUCCGGAUUGGAGUCUGCAACUCGACUCCAUGAAGUCGGAAUCGCUAGUAAUCGUGGAUCAGAAUGCCACGGUGAAUACGUUCCCGGGCCUUGUACACACCGCCCGUCACACCAUGGGAGUGGGUUGCAAAAGAAGUAGGUAGCUUAACCUUCGGGAGGGCGCUUACCACUUUGUGAUUCAUGACUGGGGUGAAGUCGUAACAAGGUAACCGUAGGGGAACCUGCGGUUGGAUCACCUCCUUACCUUAAAGAA
rnacentral:rRNA from 1 species